ACUUCGGUGGAUUUGAUCUAUUUCUAGUGGCGGACGGGUGAGUAACGCGUGGGUAACCUGCCUUAUACAGGGGGAUAACAGUCAGAAAUGGCUGCUAAUACCGCAUAAGCGCACAGAGCUGCAUGGCUCAGUGUGAAAAACUCCGGUGGUAUAAGAUGGACCCGCGUUGGAUUAGCUGGUUGGUGGGGUAACGGCCCACCAAGGCGACGAUCCAUAGCCGGCCUGAGAGGGUGAACGGCCACAUUGGGACUGAGACACGGCCCAGACUCCUACGGGAGGCAGCAGUGGGGAAUAUUGCACAAUGGGGGAAACCCUGAUGCAGCGACGCCGCGUGAAGGAAGAAGUAUCUCGGUAUGUAAACUUCUAUCAGCAGGGAAGAUAGUGACGGUACCUGACUAAGAAGCCCCGGCUAACUACGUGCCAGCAGCCGCGGUAAUACGUAGGGGGCAAGCGUUAUCCGGAUUUACUGGGUGUAAAGGGAGCGUAGACGGUGUGGCAAGUCUGAUGUGAAAGGCAUGGGCUCAACCUGUGGACUGCAUUGGAAACUGUCAUACUUGAGUGCCGGAGGGGUAAGCGGAAUUCCUAGUGUAGCGGUGAAAUGCGUAGAUAUUAGGAGGAACACCAGUGGCGAAGGCGGCUUACUGGACGG
rnacentral:rRNA from 1 species